CAGAGGACUGCAAAUCCUUGCACGCCGGUUCGAUUCCGGCUCGGGCCU
rnacentral:tRNA from 1 species